CUUCCUCCUGAGACCUGCUCCGGCUCUGCUCUGCUGGCCCCCAGCUUGGCGGGGAUGAGCCGGCAAGCGGGCUAGGGGUGGAGGUCAAAUCAUUGCAAGAGGCUCAUCCCAGACUGCUUCAUGCUGGGGUUAUGUGUGUCUGUUUCCUGGUCUAAAAUGUGGGCUCCGUGAGAGCUAGGAUGUGCGUGGCCCGUCCCCGGGUCCCCUUGCAGCUCACAGCCCAGGCCCCUUUUCCUGUAGCCCACCCUGGCCCAGCCUGGGUCUCCGCUCACCCACGGUGGUGAUGGGCCGGCGGUAGGGCAAGAGACCAAAGCUGUACUGGAAGAUGCCACGGCCAUGGAAGAGCGGGAAGGAAAUACCCAUGAUCCCCUGCAGCCAGUUCUGGAUCCAGCGCAGCCAGGAGCCAGGAGAGUUCUCAACUUGGUCAAAUAAGUCAUUCUCCCCAAAGGAGAAGACUGGCACCAGAGCUGCCCUGGAAGGAGACAGGGGAGAGGAGGCAUUUUGAAGGCCCCAAAGACGACCCCAGCUGGCCCCCUAGCUUCCUGCAGGGACCCAGUGACCAGGAACUGGAGCAGAGGACAGAGCCCUGGGCUGGAAGUAGCGUAUAGAUUGCCUCCCAGACCCGUUGGAGCCUCGCUCUCUGACCCAGGGCAGGCUCUGGCCCCUCUCAGAGCCACGGCCUCCCCGUUGCACCAUGACAGACAGAUUAGAAUGCCUCCGAGGCCUCCCAGUUGGAAAACGCCUGCCAACUUUGUAGAAACGUCUCUCCUGCCCCAGCUAGCUCGGGUGCUUCACAGGCGCUUCGAGAUAAGAGAACAGCCCUGCGCUAUGCAUUCUCCCACAUCCCACAGGCCUCAGAUCUAGUGCUGGCUUUGGGCAACAUGUCCCUUCCCACCAAGGCCCUUUGGUGACAAAGUCUCCAUUCUGGAACCUUUUCUGGGUAUUUGGGCAUGAGACAGUGCAGGUCUCACCAAAAUAUCAUCUGUAUUGUAAAUAAAUGUACUGAGAGAUC